rnacentral:rRNA from 1 species
GAGGCAGCAGUGAGGAAUAUUGGUCAAUGGGCGAGAGCCUGAACCAGCCAAGUAGCGUGAAGGAUGACUGCCCUAUGGGUUGUAAACUUCUUUUAUAAAGGAAUAAAGUCGGGUAUGCAUACCCGUUUGCAUGUACUUUAUGAAUAAGGAUCGGCUAACUCCGUGCCAGCAGCCGCGGUAAUACGGAGGAUCCGAGCGUUAUCCGGAUUUAUUGGGUUUAAAGGGAGCGUAGAUGGAUGUUUAAGUCAGUUGUGAAAGUUUGCGGCUCAACCGUAAAAUUGCAGUUGAUACUGGAUAUCUUGAGUGCAGUUGAGGCAGGCGGAAUUCGUGGUGUAGCGGUGAAAUGCUUAGAUAUCACGAGGAACUCCGAUUGCGAAGGCAGCCUGCUAAGCUGCAACUGACAUUGAGGCUCGAAAGUGUGGGUAUCAAACAGGAUUAGAUACCCUGGUAGUCC